UACAGGUGAGAUGACUUAUGUAAAUCUUCAACUAAACCCUGAGAUGAUGAUCAUCAUCAUCAGCUUGCCAAGAAACUAACAGCCGUUGACCUUGUUGCUAUUGGAGUUGGAACAACAAUUGGAGCAGGAGUGUAUAUUCUAGUGGGAACAGUAGCUAGACAACACACAGGACCUGCUCUUGCUGUAUCGUUCUUCAUCGCUGGAGUAGCAGCUGCUCUCUCCGCUUGUUGCUAUGCUGAGCUUGUUCUUAUUGUCCAUCUGCUGGCAGUGCUUAUCAUUAUGCUUACAUCUUCUUGGAGAAGGCUUACUAACCGAGUAGCAAACAUCGAAUCGUACACGUGUCAUAGCGGCCACGAAACGGGAAGGUCCUUCUAGUUCCAACAACAGUAACGACGCAGCAAGCAGAGCAGAUGCAAAGGAAAACAAUGCGCUCUAAAACAUUCAGUCACAGAAUCAAUUAAAGGCAUAUACAUGAUGAUGAUCAUUGUUUAUAGCUUUCGUCCUAAAAACCAAACAGGUGAGGUACUAGAAAGGUCAUUCCACUUGGAACAUUCCUAUUGGCAACCAUUGGGAAGUUUAACAAAACGGUGCUGAAACUUCAAUCAAACAACACAAGAAUACACCAAGAGGUGUUUUACAGGUCACUGUUAUGUUUAGUUUAAGUUGGAUGUGUUUGUCUGGUUUUAGCGCCAUAUCUCAAAAUUCAGUAAUUGAAGUUGUAUUCUGUAUCAUUUAGAUGUCUGUGAUUACAUUGUAUGCUCUAUCAAUCGCAUAUUGCAGGCAAAAUAAAUACUAAAACUACCUUAA